UACAGAGGUCUCAAGCGUUGUUCGGAUUCAUUGGGCGUAAAGGGUGCGUAGGUGGCGGGGUAAGUCAGGUGUGAAAUUUCGGAGCUUAACUCCGAAACUGCAUUUGAUACUGCCUUGCUUGAGGACUGGAGAGGAGACUGGAAUUCACGGUGUAGCAGUGAAAUGCGUAGAGAUCGUGAGGAAGACCAGUGGCGAAGGCGGGUCUCUGGACAGUUCCUGACACUGAGGCACGAAGGC
rnacentral:rRNA from 1 species